rnacentral:rRNA from 1 species
AUUGAACGCUGGCGGCAGGACUAACACAUGCAAGUCGAACGAGUGGCGGACGGGUGAGUAAUGUCUGGGAAACUGCCCGAUGGAGGGGGAUAACUACUGGAAACGGUAGCUAAUACCGCAUACCAUCGGAUGUGCCCAGAUGGGAUUAGCUUGUAGGUGAGGUCACGGCUCACCUAGGCGACGAGCCCUAGCUGAUCUGAGAGGAGUACCAGCCAAUCUGGAACUGAGACACGGUGCAGACUCCUAUGGGGGGAAGCGUUGGGGGAUAUUGGGAAAGGGGCGCAAGCCUGAGGCAGCCAUGCUGCGGGGAUGGAGAAGGCCUUCGGUUUGUAGAGUACUUUCCGCGUGGAGGCGUUACCCGCAGAAGAAGCACCGGCUAACUCCGUGCCAGCCGCCGCUGUAAUUC